GCGGCGCGAAGUAACGCUUAGCUUUCCCUAGACGCUAGCUAGUUACCAAGCUCCCUACUACGCUUCGGACUUACAUGGUUAAGGGCUCUAGCCUCGUUUUCUAUUUACGAUUCUCGGAUCUCGUCUUGGAUUAUUCCUUUCGCUUCGGACUGAGUGCUUGGCGCUUCACGCCUCCCUCGCCUUCUUGUCACUGCUCGGCCCGCGCUUGCCUCCCAUCUGGAAUCCAGUGGAAUAGGAUGAACAGGGGUAUGACAUGGGUUCUCUUGGGCUGGUUGAAUACAAGGCGUGCUGCUGCAUUCUGAAUCAUCUGAAGGGGUUUGAUGGAGCUGGCUGGGCGGCCCGAGAGUAGUACGUUGCAGUAGUCCAGUUCCGAUAUGACAAGAGUCUGGACUAGUAGCUGUGUAACCUGUUCGCCACAUCAGUCAAUUUCUGGCAACCGGCAGAAUCAAGGAAGUGUGAAUGAUCCACAAUCUCUUCGAGUUGUUUGGAGAGGAGAAUCAUGCUGAAACUAGACCAAAUCCAGGACAACAUCACAGCAGCGGUCGGAACAAUGCACUAGUCAAUGAGCCAGCCAAGCACAUCUGUCUCUGAUCUUAUAGAGGUGCUAGAGGUGCCUUGUAAGACUGUGGAGGAAUUAACAGAGCUGUGAGAUAAGCUGAAAGAUGCUGACUUUCGAAAGAAGAAUGAUUCGUUAUCUGUGUCUUCAGAGUGGAG
ensembl:lncRNA